rnacentral:rRNA from 1 species
UUGGUCAAUUAGAGGAAGUAAAAGUCGUAACAAGGUCUCCGUUGGUGAACCAGCGGAGGGAUCAUUACCGAGUUUACAACUCCCAAACCCCUGUGAACAUACCACUUGUUGCCUCGGCGGAUCAGCCCGCUCCCGGUAAAACGGGACGGCCCGCCAGAGGACCCCUAAACUCUGUUUCUAUAUGUAACUUCUGAGUAAAACCAUAAAUAAAUCAAAACUUUCAACAACGGAUCUCUUGGUUCUGGCAUCGAUGAAGAACGCAGCAAAAUGCGAUAAGUAAUGUGAAUUGCAGAAUUCAGUGAAUCAUCGAAUCUUUGAACGCACAUUGCGCCCGCCAGUAUUCUGGCGGGCAUGCCUGUUCGAGCGUCAUUUCAACCCUCAAGCACAGCUUGGUGUUGGGACUCGCGUUAAUUCGCGUUCCUCAAAUUGAUUGGCGGUCACGUCGAGCUUCCAUAGCGUAGUAGUAAAACCCUCGUUACUGGUAAUCGUCGCGGCCACGCCGUUAAACCCCAACUUCUGAAUGUUGACCUCGGAUCAGGUAGGAAUACCCGCUGAACUUAAGCAUAUCAAUAGGCCGGAG